rnacentral:rRNA from 1 species
UACGAAGGGGGGCUAGCGUUGUUCGGAAUCACUGGGCGUAAAGCGCACGUAGGCGGAUCUUUAAGUCAGGGGUGAAAUCCCGAGGCUCAACCUCGGAACUGCCUUUGAUACUGGCGAUCUCGAGUCCGGGAGAGGUGAGUGGAACUGCGAGUGUAGAGGUGAAAUUCGUAGAUAUUCGGAAGAACACCAGUGGCGAAGGCGGCUCACUGGACUGGUAUUGACGCUGAGGUGCGAAAGCGUGGGGAGCAAACAGG